AUAAAAGUAGCAAGCCAAAUGUAUCUCAAUGUAAAAGUAAGGAGGAAUGGAGUAAAAGUAGCAUUACUUCUUCCCAAAAAUACUCGUAUAAAGCUAAAAAGUACAUUGUGUUAAAGCUACUUUGAAAAGUAAAAUUAAAUCCCCCAAAUUCCUGUGGUAAAUUGUUUUGUGUUACAAGGCACAGUACAGCCGGCGCUGCAUGCCAGGUGGGCAGAUGCACAUGAAGGUCCCGAUCAGGUUCUUACACAUCAUACCCUUGGAGUCGCAGUCAUCCAGGCCCUCUGAGCACUCAUCUUGGUCUAAUUGGCAAAAGGCCAGCAGCACGUAGCCGGCUGGGCACAUGCACUCGUAGGAGCCAAAAGUGUUCACACAGCGGAAGGCGCACAGCAGAGGGUUUUUGGAGCACUCGUUGAUGUCUGCAGG